GUGCCAGCCGCUGCGGUAAUACGAAAGGGGCAAGCGUUGUUCGGAUUUACUGGGCGUAAAGGGCACGCAGGCGGUCUUGCCAGUCAGGGGUGAAAGCCCGGGGCUCAACCCCGGAACUGCCUCUGAUACUGCAGGACUAGAGACUAGGAGAGGGUGGUGGAAUUCCCAGUGUAGAGGUGAAAUUCGUAGAUAUUGGGAGGAACACCAGAGGCGAAGGCGGCCACCUGGACUAGAUCUGACGCUCAGGUGCGAAAGCGUGGGAGCAAACAGGAUUAGAUACCCUGGUAGUCCACGCCGUAAACGAUGAGUGCUAGUUGUCGG
rnacentral:rRNA from 1 species